UACGUAGGGCGCAAGCGUUGUCCGGAAUUAUUGGGCGUAAAGAGCUCGUAGGCGGCUUGUCACGUCGGGUGUGAAAGCCCGGGGGCUUAACCCCCGGGUCUGCAUCCGAUACGGGCAGGCUAGAGUGUGGUAGGGGAGGAUCGGAAUUCCUGGUGUAGCGGUGAAAUGCGUUGAGAUCGGAAGGAACGCCCGUGGCGAAAGCGAGUUCCUGGACGUCGGCUGACGCUGAGACGCGAAAGCCAGGGGAGCGAACGGG
rnacentral:rRNA from 1 species